UGUCAUCUGAUAUACAAUUUCCCACAUUCAUUUUCCCAGAUAGUGCCUCUCCGGGACCCUGGAAUAGCUGAACUGCCAGGUGGGUUACAGACCCUAGACUGAGUAACCCACCCAAAGCGGUUUACAGUGGCGCCCGAACCAGUGACUCGGAGCAUGGCCAACUAUUGGAUGAAGAUGCGCGGUCCCGGGACAACAACAAGAAGAAAAAAGAAGAUUCUAUGGCUGUAGAACUCAGACACAUCUGCAGAAUGAGGGCAAGAACAGGUCUACGGGACUUCCUUCUAAGGGGC